rnacentral:rRNA from 1 species
UACGUAGGGUGCGAGCGUUGUCCGGAAUUAUUGGGCGUAAAGAGCUCGUAGGCGGUCUGUCGCGUCUGCUGUGAAAUCUGGGGGCUCAACCCCCAGCCUGCAGUGGGUACGGGCAGACUAGAGUGCGGUAGGGGAGAUUGGAACUCCUGGUGUAGCGGUGGAAUGCGCAGAUAUCAGGAAGAACACCGAUGGCGAAGGCAGAUCUCUGGGCCGUAACUGACGCUGAGGAGCGAAAGCAUGGGGAGCGAACAGG